AGUGAACGCUGGCGGCGUGCUUAACACAUGCAAGUCGAACGAGAACGGGAUAUAGCUUGCUAUAUUUGUCAGCUAAGUGGCGCACGGGUGAGUAAUGUAUAGAUAACCUGCCCUCUAGAAAGGAAUAACAGUUGGAAACGACUGCUAAUGCCCUAUAUGCCUUUAAUACAUAAGUAUGCAAGGGAAACGCUUUAGUGCUAGAGGAUGGGUCUGUAUGGUAUCAGCUUGUUGGUGAGGUAAUGGCUCACCAAGGCUAUGACGCCUAACUGGUUUGAGAGGAUGAUCAGUCACACUGGAACUGAGACGCGGUCCAGACUCCUACGGGAGGCAGCAGUGGGGAAUAUUGCACAAUGGACGAAAGUCUGAUGCAGCAACGCCGCGUGGAGGAUGACACAUUUCGGUGCGUAAACUCCUUUUAUAUAGGAAGAUAAUGACGGUACUAUAUGAAUAAGCACCGGCUAACUCCGUGCCAGCAGCCGCAGUAAUAC
rnacentral:rRNA from 1 species